rnacentral:siRNA from 1 species
GGUUAGGGAUGUUCUUGAGC